CACGCUGUAAACGAUGGAUACUAGGUGUAGGAGGUAUCGACCCCUUCUGUGCCGGAGUUAACACAAUAAGUAUCCCGCCUGGGGAGUACGGCCGCAAGGCUGAAACUCAAAGGAAUUGACGGGGGCCCGCACAAGCAGUGGAGUAUGUGGUUUAAUUCGAAGCAACGCGAAGAACCUUACCAGGGCUUGACAUCCCUCUGACUGGCAUAGAGAUAUGCCUUCCCUUCGGGGCAGAGGAGACAGGUGG
rnacentral:rRNA from 1 species